rnacentral:rRNA from 1 species
AUUGAACGCUGGCGGCAUGCCUUACACAUGCAAGUCGAACGGUAACGCGGGGCAACCUGGCGACGAGUGGCGAACGGGUGAGUAAUGCAUCGGAACGUGCCCAGUAGUGGGGGAUAGCCCGGCGAAAGCCGGAUUAAUACCGCAUACGACCUAAGGGUGAAAGCGGGGGAUCGCAAGACCUCGCGCUAUUGGAGCGGCCGAUGUCAGAUUAGGUAGUUGGUGAGGUAAAGGCUCACCAAGCCUUCGAUCUGUAGCUGGUCUGAGAGGACGACCAGCCACACUGGGACUGAGACACGGCCCAGACUCCUACGGGAGGCAGCAGUGGGGAAUUUUGGACAAUGGGCGCAAGCCUGAUCCAGCCAUGCCGCGUGCGGGAAGAAGGCCUUCGGGUUGUAAACCGCUUUUGUCAGGGAAGAAACGCUCUGGGCUAAUACCCUGGGGUAAUGACGGUACCUGAAGAAUAAGCACCGGCUAACUACGUGCCAGCAGCCGCGGUAAUACGUAGGGUGCAAGCGUUAAUCGGAAUUACUGGGCGUAAAGCGUGCGCAGGCGGUUAUGCAAGACAGAUGUGAAAUCCCCGGGCUUAACCUGGGAACUGCAUUUGUGACUGCAUAGCUAGAGUGCGGCAGAGGGGGAUGGAAUUCCGCGUGUAGCAGUGAAAUGCGUAGAUAUGCGGAGGA